AUCCUGGAGAGGGUCUCUUGGGGGAUACAGUAAGACCCAGAGCCCAGUAGACGGUAUCCUGGAGAGGGUCUCUUGGGGGAUACAGUAAGACCCAGAGCCCAGUAGACGGUCUCCUGGAGAGGGUCUCUUGGGGGGAGACCUAAUUCUUUUCUAUUGGACUAUUAUUUGAAUAAACACCUUUGAAACUGAGCUACUCUGUCCGUGUCUGAUCUGUGUCAACGUUUUGACCCCAACCCCCUUGUCUGCCACAACAUAUGUGUGUAUUGUAUGUAUAUUUUAAUCCUGAUUGUUGAUCUAUUCAUUUAUACAUGUAUAAUUAGUAGGUUUUGUUAUCAGUUUUAACCUUAUUUAUCUCUGUAGUUAUGUAUUUUGUUUUGUGUGGUCUUCAUAUCAGCCCCUGGAGUUCCAACAUAUUGUUUUCCCUAUCACUUUUCUUUCAGUAUAAAUAUAUAAAUAGUGGUUUGCAGUCAUGAUUUUUUAUGUUUCUUUAAUCUCGACACACCCAACAGGUGGGCUGUUUAUCCACCAGACAGAAGAGCUUGAGUUUGUCUUGUUGAAACAAAAAUAAUCUGAUUAUUAAUCUAUUUAAUUUACACAUGUAUAAUUAAUAGGUUUUGUUAGAGCUUGUGUUUGUCACUGUACAGAGUACUUAGCACCUCAGAUCUUCCCAUAUCUGUUUAUGAAGCUCUCUGACAUCUUAAUAUUGACAUUUUUGGAAACACUUCUUCUGUUCCCGAUAUCCCCUUUGUUUCCAGUAUUCCCACAGACAGGUUUACAGGAAACCCCUGUGGCAAAACGGCAGGAUGACAGGAUCCUUGAAGAUGUCACGGCACACAGGGACAGAAGAAAUCCUCCUCUUGGAAAGAUGAACCAGAAACCAUUUUGUAAUGAAAUCACUGCCACUUCUCUGUAAAGAGAGCAGACAGUGACUUGUUAUCUAAUCAGAGCUUGUAAAUUCAGGGAAAUCAAGUGAGAGGGAGCCAAGAUGGCGUCGCUGUGAGAGGGAGCCAAGAUGGCGUCGCUGUGAGAGGGAGCCAAGAUGGCGUCGCUGUGAGAGGGAGCCAAGAUGGCGUCGCUGUGAGAGGGAGCCAAGAUGGCGUCGCUGUGAGAGGGAGUGUUUUCUCGCUCUUCAAAACAACAUUGAGGGUUAGGUGGUUAACAGUCAAAUAUUGUUUUAUGGACAUGGGAUAAGUUUAGAGUUAGUUUUUGUCAAGUUGAAUGGGAGGAACACGACAGAAAGACAAGAGUAGACGAAAUAUCCAAGUCUCACAGAAGACAGCAGACAUGCUAGCUAGUCACAACGAAAACCAGAGCAGCAUGGAUACACAAGAAGCCACGAACUCAAGCGAGCGAAAGAACAAAAGCUGACCAGGAUGAAAUCCUUGCAACCUCUUUACCUCAGACCCACCGGUGAAAAAAGUAAAAGACGACAUUUCCAUGUCGGAACUUUUCUCUGCAAUCCCUGUCUACUAAACAAGACGCUAUUUUCAGGUCUCUCCAGAGAUAUUCGAUCGGGUUCAAGUCCGGGCUCAGGCUGGGCCACUCAAGGACAUUCAUAGACGUGUCCCGAAGCCACUCCUGCUUUGUCUAGGCUUGCUUAGGGUCGUUGUCCUGUUGGAAGGUAAACCUUGGCCCCAGUUUACAAAUAUGCUCCGUUCAUCUUUGCCUCGAUCCUGACUAGUCUACCAGUCCCUGCCGCUGAAAAAACAUUUGCCUUUUGGCAAACCACAAGCAGGCUGUCAUUUGCCUUUUACUGAGGAGUGGCUUCCGUCUGGCCACUCUUCCAUAAAGGCCUGAUGGUGGAGUGCUGCAGAGAUGGUUGUCCUUCUGGAAGGUUCUCCCAUCUCCCGAGAGG
ensembl:lncRNA